UGGCUCAGUUGGUAGAGCAUGGUGUUUGCAACGCUAGGGUUGUGUGUUCGAUUCCCAC
rnacentral:tRNA from 1 species